CGGUGCAUAGUGCUGAACGCGGCAGGCUCCAGACUUGUUGGUCACCGGUUCAAAUCCGGUCGCUCCCAC
rnacentral:tRNA from 1 species